AUWUUWUUAAGKGGRGGAAAAGAAACCAAAAGGGWUUCCCCCAGKAGSGGCGAGMGAAAAGGGACCAGCUCAUCGSGUAAUCCCCCSAGCCUCGGUUACGGGGGAAAUGUUGCGUAUGGGACAGGUACCUAAGGUUAGUCGAGAAAGGCCCAAGUCCCCACGAACGGGGCGCCGAAGCGGGUGGCAGUYCCGUACSGUYUUCUCUCCCGACGAAACCAAAGGCCAGUCCCCGGAGUCGGGUUGCUUGAAAGUGCAGCCCAAAGUGGGUGGUAUGCUCCACCUAAGGCUAAAUAUUCCCGAGAGACCGAUASAAAUAAGUACCGUGANGGGRAAGUUGAAAAGAACUUUGAAGAGAGAGUUCAAUAGUACGUGAAACCGCUUAGAGGUAAACGGGUGGGCCCUCGAAGUCUGAGGGCGGAUCGGUUCAGUGGCGGGUUCCGCGGAGAGCACCGGUGGGUCUAGGCGAACUCCGUGAGGAKAAAUUCGACCUGGCGGUCUUUCACCCUCCGGGUGGGCCGCUUAAGGAAGGCGGCGGGAGCGUCGACGGGACGCCGCGGGAAAAGCCAGAGGUCGGCGGUCAGUAGAUCGGGUCCCACCCGACCCGUCUUG
rnacentral:rRNA from 1 species